rnacentral:rRNA from 1 species
UACGUAGGGUGCAAGCGUUAAUCGGAAUUACUGGGCGUAAAGCGUGCGCAGGCGGUGAUGUAAGACAGAUGUGAAAUCCCCGGGCUUAACCUGGGAACUGCAUUUGUGACUGCAUAGCUAGAGUACGGCAGAGGGGGAUGGAAUUCCGCGUGUAGCAGUGAAAUGCGUAGAUAUGCGGAGGAACACCGAUGGCGAAGGCAAUGCCCUGGGCCUGUACUGACGCUCAUGCACGAAAGCGUGGGGAGCAAACAGG